UACAGAGGUCUCAAGCGUUGUUCGGAUUCAUUGGGCGUAAAGGGUGCGUAGGUGGCGCCGUAAGUCAGGUGUCGAAAUCUCGGAGCUCAACUCCGAAACUGCACUUGAUACUGCGGUGCUCGAGUACUGGAGAGGAGAUUGGAAUUUACGGUGUAGCAGUGAAAUGCGUAGAUAUCGUAAGGAAGACCAGUGGCGAAGGCGAAUCUCUGGACAGUUACUGACACUGAGGCAGCGAAGGCCAGGGAGCAAACGGG
rnacentral:rRNA from 1 species